rnacentral:lncRNA from 1 species
GAAGUGUAUCGUAAUCUAAUAAAUAGAGAGAAACCUGUACCAGAAACAGUCACAAACUCCAGAGUAAGUUUCCCAUAGAGACGGAAGAUCUGUGUGACAAGAAGGAAGGCUUUGCUAACAGUAAUUUCUGGGUAAACUAAUCACAGUUAAUCCCUUGUUCUGACAGAUUCUGGGGCCCUGAAGGUAAAGGAAAACAAGAAGGAAUCUUUCCUGCGACAAAAAGACAUUUCAUUCCAAGCUACAGUAAUACUCAGAGGAACCCAACCCUGCUCUGAAAGCAAAGAAGCCAUGUGCAAGUUGACUGAACUUGGCAUGAUCUGGAAGCACCUAGGUGGCAAGCAUCCAUGUACAUUGGGAAGGAUGGUAUUGAGUUGCUUGAGGUGGGAAAACCCACUCUGAAAAGAAGAAAAAAAAACACCCUCAAGGGCAAGCUGAGCAGAGAGAACGGAAAACCCAGCAUCUGGUAGUGCUUGCUGAUACCCACGAAGCAAGGUGGUGGUCCUGAAGGACUCUUACAUCUGGCUGAGGAUGCUAAGAGAAAUAGCGAGGUCCAUCCACCAGGAUCGAGCCUACAGGCACAUCCAGGGGUUACAG